UGCCUACGGGGCGCAGCAGUGAGGAAUAUUGGUCAAUGGCCGAGAGGCUGAACCAGCCAAGUCGCGUGAGGGAUGACGGCCCUACGGGUUGUAAACCUCUUUUGCCGGGGAGCAAAAAGCGGUACGUGUACCGCAUCGAGAGUACCCGGAGAAAAAGCAUCGGCUAACUCCGUGCCAGCAGCCGCGGUAAUACGGAGGAUGCGAGCGUUAUCCGGAUUUAUUGGGUUUAAAGGGUGCGCAGGCGGCGAGUUAAGUCAGCGGUAAAAUUUCGGGGCUCAACCCCGACGAGCCGU
rnacentral:rRNA from 1 species